rnacentral:lncRNA from 1 species
AGCAAGGCACACGUGGUCUUCAAUGCGAUGGGCGCUUCCAGGGGACCCGGCGUCCCUUGGGUCCAGGAAGUCUUAUACUGUCUCCUCUCACGGCCCCGACAGAAACGGUUUCUGAGGAGUAGAAGUGUCCUAAGUGGAUUGGAAAUUACAAAUGCCGGAAAGAACCUAGGGAUGGAAAGCAGCCCUCAACUUUGACCAACCGCCGUGGGUUAGGUUUACAGUGGGGAAAAAAAAUAGAAAUUGUGCCUGACUUCAAUGACCGCCACUAUUUGAAGCAAACUGCCCAUCCAAGCCUUAUCAUCCCCUUUAACACCCUAAUGUUUCUGUCCAUGUGGACUUCGACGUGGUCCUCUAGAAUGGUUUUGUACUUCCCCGCGGUCUCCUCUGCGGUAGCUCCUCUGAUGAUGGACAAAGAAGGAGAGGCGAAAGGCCAUGAUCAGGGAAGCCUACAGUCUUCUUCCUCACUGCCCAUUGCUGUAGUUUAUGCAGCUACAUGAUGCUUGUUAAGGAAGCUCCCUAGACACCAGUGUCCCAUUGAGAUUUGGCCACGUAUUCUGCAGACCCCACCCCACCCCCCAUGCCGACUAUGUUGCCACAUUUCUCUACCGUACUCAUUUCUUUGCCCCAAUGUCUAUCCGUUCUGACAAGAUUAAAGACAUCAAUCUCAUGUUCCCGUGGCCUGCUCUCAGGUGUGCAGGCACAAACAGGCUCUAUCUUCUGUAUUUCUUUUUUCCUUUUUUUUUGAAACGGAGUCUCGCUCAGUCGCCCAGGCUGGAGGGCAGUGGUGCGAUCUCAGCUCACUGCAGGCUCCGCCUCCCGGGUUCACGCCGUUCUCCUGCCUCAGCCUCCCGAAUAGCUGGGACUACAGGUGCCCGCCACUACGCCCGGCUAAUUUUUUGUGUGUUUUUAGUAGAGGCGGGGUUUCACCAUGUUGGUCUUGAACUCCUGACCUCAGGUGAUCCGCCCGCCUUGGCCUCCCAAAGUGCUGGGAUUACAGGCGUGAGCCACUGCGUCCGGCCCCUGUAUUUCUUUGAAUUGCAAACUUAAGCAAAAGGAUUCUAGCCACAUGUCCAUCUGACACACUCACAUGCAGAUCCUGGCGUCUCUCCCCAGACAUUUGCUUGCUUUCCUCCUAGAGUUUCCUCCUAGUAGCAGGUCCCCUAGCUCCCAGGAUGUUCAGCCUCCUAAAGAGUGGUGGGGCGGCGGUACCCACUUUUCUUCUCUGUCAGCUGUCAGUAGGCUAGGGAUGGAGGGUCUCAUACAGAACAGUUCUCUGGGGGCCUUGAACCAACACAGUUCUUCCCCUUUUCUCACUUGUAGUUCUCGAGAAUAACUGUAGAAUGUGUUGGAAUGCAAUAUACUAUAGACAAGGAGGAACUGACCAGAACAGCCCAGGCUCUGUUCCAGUCUCUUCUAGAAAUAGGAUGUCCUUCAACUAGUACUAGCCCAGCACAUCCCAUUGCCCUGUAGUAAAAACUGAGAGCAGACUGCUUUCUGGGGUCCCUUAGUUGCGGUGCAAGCAGUGCACGAGCAGAUGAGACGCCAUCCUCCCUAAGAAGUUUUCCUCGGCCUUGGGAGAUAUGGUCAUUAUGACAUGCUUCUGUUGUCCCUUGCUGCCUGUCUGUAAGUAAUAAACCCACUUCGUGU